CACAGGAGACACACACACACACACACAGCACAUGCUCUUAUAUGUGUCACAUUCCAACUGUGGCAUUCUUGUUAAUUAGAACAUAAAUUAAUGAACCAAGCGUGUGAGACAGGCUGCUUCUUCCUCACUCCAGUCAACAGUAAGCCUUGCUCCCAAACACAGCUGCCUCUGCACUGCCUACAUCGUUCUCCUCCUCAGGACAGAAAACCUGCGCCUGUCCACACCAACAUGAACAACCAGCGGAAACAGCGGUGAUAGAUUCUGGUGCAAAGUCAAAGAAAACAACAACAGUAAACUCAGUCUGCCGCGGCUCCUCUGUGGUGCGGGACA